GGGGGUGUAGCUCAAUUGGUGGAGCGCGUGCUUUGCAAGCACGAGGUCGUCGGUUCGAUUCCGUCCACCUCCA
rnacentral:tRNA from 1 species